CUACGGACUUAGAUAACUGAGCCUUGCUAGAGAAAUCUUUCAAGUGUAAGCUCUCAAACUCAGGGAAACCUAAAUCUGAUUACAGACAUGGCAAUCCUGAGCCAAGCCCAAAAAUUGAAGAUUUAAGAUUGUGUUGACAAUCGAAAAUCCCAAAUUAUGGGAAGGUGCAGAGACCCGACGGGAGCUACCCUAACGUUAAGUCGAGGGUAAAGGGAGAGUCCAAUUCUUAAAGCCGAUAGUAAUUAAAG
rnacentral:ncRNA from 1 species